CCGAGUUUACAACUCCCAAACCCCUGUGAACAUACCUAUCGUUGCUUCGGCGGACCGCCCCGGGUGCUGCGCGCCCCGGAUCCAGGCGCCCGCCGGAGGCCACAAACUCUUGAUUCUUUAACUGUAUCUUCUGAGUGGCGUAAAGCAAAAAAUAAAUUA
rnacentral:misc_RNA from 1 species